rnacentral:rRNA from 1 species
GUGCAGCAGGCGAGAAUAGUCUACAAUGGACGAAAGUCUGAUAGUGCGACGCCGUGUGUGCGAUUAAUUCCUUCGGGAUGUAAAGCACUUUUCUAUGAGAUAAAAGCUCUUUAGGUUAAUAGCUUAUUGAGACGGAUAUUAUUAUAGGAAUAAGCUCCGGCUAACUCCGUGCCAGCAGCCGCGGUAAUACGGAAGGAGCGAGCGUUGUCCGGAUUUACUAGGCGUAAAGGGCUAGUGGGCGACUAAUUAAGUUAUAUGUUAAAUCCCACGGCUCAACUGUGGUCCUGCAUGUAAUACUGGUUAGAUAGAGUACUGUAGAGGAAGGCAGAAUUCCUGGAGUAGCGGUGGAAUGCGCAGAUAUCAGGAAGAAUACCAAAAGCGAAGGCAGCCUUCUGGGCAGUUACUGACGCUGAAUAGCGAAGCUGUGGGUAGCGAACAGGAUUAGA